GUUUAGCGGCCUUGCUGUCCGGCUUGGGGUGACUCAGCCCUCCCACUGGAGGCCUCUGUGUGAACUGCUGAGACACUUUCGUUCAUGCUGGGCUUGGUGAUGUCAUUUGACCUUUCGCUCAGCUCGGCUUCACUACUUGUGUGUCAGGUCUGCCUGUAUCAGUGAGAGUAGAGCUUGGCCUGCCUACUCCGCUGUGAAUACAGAGGCGGUCCAGGUGCCCAGACAGCCUGGUCGUUAGGAGGCUCACCAGGUGACGUGGAACAGACAAAGAGAAUCAUCUUCUUUUAAGAUGAGGAUCACAAGGAAGACAGAAAAAUGUAACUGUUUCUAAGAAAAGAAUAUAUUCUGGAGUCUGAGUCUGCAAAAUAUCAAUAUGGCAAGCCCAGCUUGAGGUUUUCAGGGAGACCAGCACAGAUUGCACUUCCUCCAGGAAGCCCUCCGGGCUGUUGAGGGCUUGGUUCUUUUCCAUCCCAGCACUGACUUUAAACUGCCGAGUGUGAUCUGCCCGUCUCCUGCUCUGGGUCCCGUCUUCACCUCUCAGUGUCCGGCCGAGCAUCUGCACCACCAGGCGCUCAGUGCGCCUUCGGAAUCCAACUGGAUUUGGACUGGAUUGGCUUCCUCUUCCACGUCAGGGAUCUACCAGUGUGAUGUGUGUGCGUGUGUGCUCAGUGACUCUUUGCAAUCCUAUGGACUGUAGCCCACCUGACUUCUGUCCAUGGGAUUCUCCAGGCAAGAAUACUGGAGUGGGUAGCCAUUUCUUACUACAGGGGAUCUUCCUGGCCCAGGAUUGAACCUGCAUCUCCUUCAUUGCAGAUGGAUUCUUUUCUGCUGAGCCACCUGGGAAGCCCCAGAUCCACCAGGGAACAAGUGACAUGGUGCUCUGGGCACAGGGACUGCUGCCGCCUUGUCCCUAGAAUGACUUUAAUGUGACUUUGCAACACCACCCUGUGAGGAAGACCCAGAAGAUUUCUGCAAAGGGGCAGAUCAGGAGGCAGCUGUGUGAGUCU
ensembl:lncRNA